rnacentral:rRNA from 1 species
UACGAAGGGGGCUAGCGUUGCUCGGAAUGACUGGGCGUAAAGGGCGCGUAGGCGGAUGACCCAGUCAGAUGUGAAAUUCCCGGGCUUAACCUGGGGGCUGCAUUUGAUACGUGUUGUCUAGAGUGAGGAAGAGGGUUGUGGAAUUCCCAGUGUAGAGGUGAAAUUCGUAGAUAUUGGGAAGAACACCGGUGGCGAAGGCGGCAACCUGGUCCUUGACUGACGCUGAGGCGCGAAAGCGUGGGGAGCAAACAGG